rnacentral:rRNA from 1 species
AGUGAACGCUGGCGGUAGGCCUAACACAUGCAAGUCGAACGGCAGCACAGUAAGAGCUUGCUCUUACGGGUGGCGAGUGGCGGACGGGUGAGGAAUACAUCGGAAUCUACUUUUUCGUGGGGGAUAACGUAGGGAAACUUACGCUAAUACCGCAUACGACCUACGGGUGAAAGCAGGGGAUCUUCGGACCUUGCGCGAUUGAAUGAGCCGAUGUCGGAUUAGCUAGUUGGCGGGGUAAAGGCCCACCAAGGCGACGAUCCGUAGCUGGUCUGAGAGGAUGAUUAGCCACACUGGAACUGAGACACGGUCCAGACUCCGACGGGAGGAAGCAGUGGGGAAUAUUGGACAAUGGGCGCAAGCCUGAUCCAGCCAUACCGCGUGGGUGAAGAAGGCCUUCGGGUUGUAAAGCCCUUUUGUUGGGAAAGAAAAGCAGCAGGUUAAUACCCCGCUGUUCUGACGGUACCCAAAGAAUAAGCACCGGCUAACUUCGUG